GACGAACGCUGGCGGCGUGCUUAACACAUGCAAGUCGAGCGGUAAGGCUCCUUCGGGAGUACACGAGCGGCGAACGGGUGAGUAACACGUGAGCAAACUGCCCUUCUCAUCGGAAUAACCAUUGGAAACGAUGGCUAAUGCCGAAUACGACUUCCUUUCGCAUGUCAGGAAGUGGAAAGCUCCGGCGGAGAAGGAUGAGCUCGCGGCCUAUCAGCUUGUUGGUGGGGUAAUGGCUCACCAAGGCGACGACGGGUAGCCGGCCUGAGAGGGUGACCGGCCACACUGGGACUGAGACACGGCCCAGACUCCUACGGGAGGCAGCAGUGGGGAAUAUUGGACAAUGGGCGAAAGCCUGAUCCAGCAACGCCACGUGAGGGAUGACGGCCUUCGGGUUGUAAACCUCUUUCAGCAGGGACGAAGCGAAAGUGACGGUACCUGCAAAAGAAGGACCGGCCAACUACGUGCCAGCCGCCGCCGUAA
rnacentral:rRNA from 1 species